GGAUGUGAGGGUGAUCUGGAUGCGACAUCUGUCAACCCCUUGACUGCCAGAUUUGGCUGAUCUGGCUGGCUAGGCAGGUGUCCCCUUCCUCCCUCACCGCUCUAUGUGUGUCCCUCCUGAAGCUGCACACUUCCCCAAAAGAGGAUGGCCUUUCCCAGUAGAGACAGACUGGUCUUCAGUCGAGGGUAUACGGGUAGCUGUGCUCCCCUGCUAGCAACUCCAAACAAGUUCUCAAGAGAAGCAGCGACAGAAGUGAUGUGACUGCAAGUCAACGCAUGCCAGGAAUUGAGCAUGGUCUAGCUAUACCUUGAUUU
rfam:Erinaceus europaeus unplaced genomic scaffold scaffold00289, whole genome shotgun sequence